UCCCAUUUAGGAAACAGGCAUGUGUCUUGCCUCUUGUCCUAGUCCCAGAGCCUGUAAAGGGGAGCCCACAGGGCUGGCUGGGGAAGAAGCAGAAAGUUUGUUGUAGAAGGAACAGGGAU